CAGCACCGAGCUGUAGGCGACGGACCAGAGGGCGACGCGCCACGGCGGCUGCACAAACUGGUUCGUGUAGUUUGAUUGUGAAACCUGCUGUUCCUAGAGGCUGCGCUUACCUGUUUCCCGAAUAUGGCGAAAGGCCUUAUGUCCAUCAGGCAAAUGAAGCCACUCUUCGAAAGAGCUGUGUUGGCCAAGCAAUAGCCCAGGCAUCUUCUCUGCAAAUUGCCAGGUGUACUUGAGUGUGUUCAGCGGUAUUGCAUGUUGUUUUUUGUCUAGUAUUAAAUAUAAACUCCUGUCGGUAAUGUGAUGUCAACCACAUCUUUGAUAUGACAUGCUGUUGCCUGCUCUUGUUCACGUCGAACUGCCAUGGCAACGGAAUUUUUUAAAAUGUCCAAUUUCGGAUAUAUUUGCAUGAAAAAUGUUUGACUCCCUCAGAAUUCAACUUCAAUUAUUCCAGCUGGAGUUUGCUGUGCUGUGCAGCCAUUUGUCUUAAAGUCUUGCUAUUAACAGUGACUUGUAAAUCUUACAAACCGCCACGGAUGUGUUUUUGUGAACCAUUAACAGAGGAAACUGGACUUUUGAGAGUGCCAAUCAAGAACAUUUGUGAUUCUGAGCACUGAUUAAUACUGCAAUGGUUGCUGACAGAAGAGCAUGUUUUACUUUUGGAUUUUGCCCCCUCUUUGAUUGCAUUUGUAUCAUAUUUUUGUUGUUGACUGAAAAUGUGCUUUAAUAAUAAUUCUACAUCUGUAAAACAAUAAUUCCCUGAGAAAUUGCUUGAUAGAUAUUGUUGCUCCUCUGAAAACAAAGAAAGAAAGAAAAUCCAUGUUAGAGGUUUAUCGUGCCCUCUUCAAUAAAAAUGUAAUUUAAUUGUGUCAGUACCCCAACGUGCCAGUAUCCCAAUGUGGCUCGAGCUGUGAGGGCCCCUCAUCGGUGCUCGAAGCUCGAGUUCUUUCUGUUUUUGUCGCAGCCACAAAACACAAACACACAAACAGGAGCUCUGAUUCCUAAGAGAAUGGAGUUAUAUACACGAUUGUCUGUGUCUAAUGUGUUGUCUUGUAUUAUUUUUUCAUUUUAUGUUAACUUUUCUUU